rnacentral:lncRNA from 1 species
GAUGAAUUCCGGCACUAUCUGAAAGGUUGGGGUUACUGUGGUGAAUGUUUCCCAGAAAACGGAACAGUGACUACUAAGUAACUUUGCUGAGGCUCAGGUCUGACACUUCAGGAAAUCUGUAAUUCUAACUUCAUACAUGGAUUAGAACAUCUCCACUGCAGAGAGGUCUGAGUUCUUAUCUAUGAGACACUGUGUUUCAAGUUGCCAGUCUCCUGUGGGAUCACUCCAAAGCCUCGAAAAUGGUCUCCCCAUAGACAUUCCACCCCCACUCCAAUCUGUUCUCCACUCUGCAGUCAGAGUGAUUGGCUCAAAAUGCAU